rnacentral:lncRNA from 1 species
CGGCCACAGACUUAUGGACUUAGCCUCUCAAAUCUCAUAAGACUACUCCUUUCUAUCAAGAUCGAUAGAUUCUAUUUAAAUAUGCAUCCUACUCCUAUAGUGGAUCAACUAUGACCAACAUCCACUACAAGGACUCAAUGAGAUCAUAUUUAUGUGUCAGUCAAACUCCAGCAGUCACACUAUAGCAAUCAUACCAUCGUAGGUCAAAAGAUCAUUCACAUAACUGCAGCAU